CGUCUGGAGCUUGCAACAGAAACUUAUUAAUUUCCUCACGGGCAAAUGUUUUAGAUUCUUUGGGUCUAUAGCCAACUGAUUUAGUUAUUUACCAUUAGGGUGCCUUUUAUAUUAUUUGAAUAAGUCGACCAAAGUGUUAAAGACUAGUAACACUCUUUCCGUCAAGCUGAAACUCCUUUUAAUUAGACACAAAACGUAUUUUCUUGAACGAAUAUCAAGAAAAAUAAAAGUGUGAUAGUUUAUUGGAGAAACUAAUUGACAUGAGAAAGAAAUCGUUCACAUCCCAUUAUUGUGAUAAAACAAUUUUAUAAUUGCGUUAAAAAAUGACACGUUACGGCACUUUUUUUCACGCUUUUUAACCGAUUCAGAAAUUACAUUCUUUGUAAAUCCAAAUGAAUAAAAAAAACGUGAUUAUUAUAACGGACGUAGAAAAAAGUUUAAUCCCUUGUUUUUUAUUGAUAAAUUCCCCGUACUUAAUUGCCACGCCUCGUAGUAGUAGUCGUAAAAUACAAAUCGACGAAAGAUGUAUUGAUGUGCAAUAGUUUACUUAUCAAUGAAACGUUUCUGUAAAUAAAGUUUAUUUUAUAUGAUAUGCCAAAUAACGGGUGAAAAUCAGGAUUCUCAAGCGGUAGACGGUAGAAUAUUCAAGGAAACCAAGGCUUAAAAUUGUUUCUAAUAGAUAGCCUAUCCUAGUAUAGAUAUGUGUCAAAUAUAACUCACGAUAGACGUUUGUCGUAAACUGAAGUUUUGGAAAACAUUUUUUUUAUCUCGAGAAAUUUUAGCUACAAAUUUGGUCAAAUUACAAUGUUUCCUGCAUUAGAUUAUGGAUAGUUAUUGGCAAGACUCGAUCCCGAUAGAAGUAGUGUCCGAAAUUUUCAAGUAUUUAUCUAGAACGGAUAGACUGUCGUGUUCAGUAGUUUGCCAAAAAUGGAAAUAUGCAUUAUGUAGACAAUACUUAUGGGAAACCAUUGUACUUCGUGUGGAUAAAGAUUUUCUGGAACCAAGUACCACUUUGCUGGUAAGAGAAUAUUACAGACACAUAAAAACAUUAGAAAUAGGAUGGGAUAAACCUCUGGUGCAAAAUAGAUGGCUGCCACUUAAAGUGCAUGAUUUGACGAAAAGAAUGGUACACUUUAUAUUUAUAUUGUACGAAAACUGCGUUCAACUCAGUUGCUUCAGGUUCUUUGAUUGGCACGAUAUAUACGCUUUCAAGAAAAUUAUUUAUCAUUUGAGUAGGUUUUUGAAGAUACAAUCGAAUUUGAAAAAACUGAUAUUCCACAAUAUAAAUUUACCAAAAAAUGAAUGCUUGCGAAUCCUCAACGCCUGCGUGGGAUCCAAAUUAACGGUGACACAUUUAGAAAUUCACAACAACUAUUACAACUUUAACACGGCAUUCGAUACAAUCGAAUUCGUGGUGUUUUUAGAAGAAUUUUUAUGUUUAACGGAAUUAAGAUUGGAUUAUUUUAUUCUCUCAAGACCGAAAGUCAUGGAUGUGAUAACGGAAAAUGGGAAAGAUCGACUGAAGUUUUUGGAAAUUUAUUUUGAUGAAACGGAUCUUCAUAGCAUCAUAAUUCCGGAAAACAAGUGGAGAAAAUUAAACAAAUACUGUCCUGAUAUCAAGGUCUCCAUAAAAAUAAGGAAUAUCUGCCAUUAUGAACAAAUAGAGUUCAUCUUCUUGAUGGAUACCAUACCACUAAAUUCAUUCACAAUGGUGACUAGCUACAAAUUCGAUCAAAAAGUUAGCCGAAACUUCGGAACUACUCUUCAUCGUUUAAUUAAUAACUACCAUAAUACUAUAGGUAAGUUUAUUUACUCGCCACCGAAGUCGGGAUUGUCCAAGUGGUCUUUUCCCAGAAAAAAUAAAUUUGGAUCUCAAAAACAACAGGGAAAAUCUAGACGACGUUCUUCUGGAUAUCAUCUUGAAAUGCCCCAAAUUGAAGACCUUAUUUUUUGAUGGGAUCGUGAAUGAUAAUAUGAAUCUAUUUCAUGAAAUAUGUCACUAUAAACAAACUGCAAAGGGAAUCCGCAUGAAGGUUUUGCCGAACAAGUAUAAAUCUUUAACUAAUGUAGUACACAUGUUCUCUUAACUGUCUAAAUAAAUUUUUCAAAUUA